rnacentral:tRNA from 1 species
AGAGUGCWAAUCUGGAAACGUACCCAGGAGGUGCCGGGGCUU